rnacentral:rRNA from 1 species
UUUUGAUUGCGAGUGCUAUACAUGCAGUCGUACGCACUGGCCCAACUGAUUGAUGGUGCUUGCACCUGAUUGACCUUGGAUCACCAGUGAGUGGCGGACGGGUGAGUAACACGUAGGUAACCUGCCCCGGAGCGGGGGAUAACAUUUGGAAACAGAUGCUAAUACCGCAUAACAACAAAAGCCACAUGGCUUUUGUUUGAAAGAUGGCUUUGGCUAUCACUCUGGGAUGGACCUGCGGUGCAUUAGCUAGUUGGUAAGGUAACGGCUUACCAAGGCGAUGAUGCAUAGCCGAGUUGAGAGACUGAUCGGCCACAAUGGAACUGAGACACGGUCCAUACUCCUACGGGAGGCAGCAGUAGGGAAUCUUCCACAAUGGGCGCAAGCCUGAUGGAGCAACACCGCGUGAGUGAAGAAGGGUUUCGGCUCGUAAAGCUCUGUUGUUGGAGAAGAACGUGCGUGAGAGUAACUGUUCACGCAGUGACGGUAUCCAACCAGAAAGUCACGGCUAACUACGUGCCAGCAGCCGCGGUAAUACGUAGGUGGCAAGCGUUAUCCGGAUUUAUUGGGCGUAAAGCGAGCGCAGGCGGUUGCUUAGGUCUGAUGUGAAAGCCUUCGGCUUAACCGAAGAAGUGCAUCGGAAACCGGGCGACUUGAGUGCAGAAGAGGACAGUGGAACUCCAUGUGUAGCGGUGGAAUGCGUAGAUAUAUGGAAGAACACCAGUGGCGAAGGCGGCUGUCUGGUCUGCAACUGACGCUGAGGCUCGAAAGCAUGGGUAGCGAACAGGAUUAGAUACCCUGGUAGUCCAUGCCGUAAACGAUGAGUGCUAGGUGUUGGAGGGUUUCCGCCCUUCAGUGCCGGAGCUAACGCAUUAAGCACUCCGCCUGGGGAGUACGACCGCAAGGUUGAAACUCAAAGGAAUUGACGGGGGCUCGCACAAGCGGUGGAGCAUGUGGUUUAAUUCGAAGC